rnacentral:rRNA from 1 species
CACUGUCACUCCUACGGGGAGGCAGCAGUGGGGAAUAUUGCACAAUGGGCGCAAGCCUGAUGCAGCCAUGCCGCGUGUGUGAAGAAGGCCUUCGGGUUGUAAAGCACUUUCAGUCAGAGGAAAGGUUAGUAGUUAAUACCUGCUAGCUGUGACGUUACUGACAGAAGAAGCACCGGCUAACUCCGUGCCAGCAGCCGCGGUAAUACGGAGGGUGCGAGCGUUAAUCGGAAUUACUGGGCGUAAAGCGUACGCAGGCGGUUUGUUAAGCGAGAUGUGAAAGCCCCGGGCUUAACCUGGGAACUGCAUUUCGAACUGGCAAACUAGAGUGUGAUAGAGGGUGGUAGAAUUUCAGGUGUAGCGGUGAAAUGCGUAGAGAUCUGAAGGAAUACCGAUGGCGAAGGCAGCCACCUGGGUCAACACUGACGCUCAUGUACGAAAGCGUGGGGAGCAAACAGGAUUAGAUACCCUGGUAG